UUAGAGUUCAGCCUUAUUAAAAACGGACCCCACACCUGUGGAGCUGACGUGUGUCUCCAUGGAUUUAUUUAACCAGGAGAGGAUGGAGGAAUAAAGCUGACUGCACUCUGAGAAGAUGGAGGAGUCAUGUCCUGUGAAGGGGUGUAAUUAUGUAAUGUCGGUCUGAUGAUGACGACAACAAAGCCACCUCCAUGACAAAUGAGUCAAAACCAUUUGCUGAGGAAUGCCACAGAUAUUGGUUUUGAACCCUGGAAAAAGCCAGUAGGGAAGGUGAUGCUGCUGACACACAGAGAGUGAUCACCAACUCUGCACUUCCCCUCAGCUCUACAAUGCUUCUCCACUUUAUUCAGCCCAGAGUUUUGGUUUUAUGACUCCCCACUUUACCUUUUUUACUCACUUUCUCUGCUCUUAUUGUCGUCUCCAGCUGCAACCGUUGUUUUCAGCUCUGGUAAACUAACUGUAAGAUACUUACCAAGUACCAAACAGGAAACAGACAAAUCUGUGAAGAUUCAAAGUCAUACAGGUCGUGGCAUCUUCAGGAGUUGUACAAGUGUACAUGGCAACUGGACUUGCUUGACUUUCUUCUUUCAAGAAACACAACAAACUGUAUGUACACUUGUACGACUCCACAAGAAGACAGACAAAGAUGGCAAGAAGCCUGCGAACAUAGCGUAGCACUCUGGGAAUUCAUUCACUCAGGAAUAACUUCAAUACUCAUUUUCUUGCUGUGAAAUGUUCAGUAUGUUCAUACUGAAUAUAUUCUGUUCAAACUAUAUUAGUUCUGUUUCUAUAGUAUAUAGCAUUGCUAUUUUUUAUAUUUCAAUGUGUUUGUAUUUGCUUAAUUAUUUAUGAUUUCAUUACUUAUCUACUGAUGCUUCUAUUUAUACUUUCCCUUUGCUGCUGUAACAAGGCAAACUGUCCCGUAGAGGGACUAAAAAAGGCUUAUCUUGUCCUGUCUUGUUCCAUCACGUGGCUCAAGAACCAGAUAUUUCUCUCAGAGGGUGGAGACCAAAACUGAGCUAAGGGGCUUGAAUACGCCAGUUCAACUGAAUUUUAUUAGUAUAACACAACAUAAAUUAUCUGGAAACACUUUACUUAGUAAGGCAGAGACAUUAAUAUUCCAACAAUUUGAUAGAGAAACCCAACAGUUCCCGCAAUGAGCAAACAGAGGAGAUGUGACAGAUGAGAGAACAUCCUUUUGAAGGAAGAAUCCUCGACCAGGAGCAGCCUCUUGUUUGAAUGUUGCUGUCUGUUGGCUGAAGUGUAAAUGAGCAACUGUUUGCUAACACAUGCACCCUAACCACUGGGUGUGAAUAUCUAUGCUCUUUUUACAGUUUGCUAUUGAUGCCUUCAAGUGCAAAAAACUACUGUAUUAUACUCUGUUGCUACCCAUCUCUGUUACACCAAAUAGAUCAAUAUCCUUAAGUUUACAUAAAAAAGUACAAAUACUUUGUUACAGUAUUUAAUUAGGUUUUUCAGGUAUCUAUACUUUAUUUGAGCAUUUAU